rnacentral:rRNA from 1 species
CGAGCGGACAGAUGGGAGCUUGCUCCCUGAUGUUAGCGGCGGACGGGUGAGUAACACGUGGGUAACCUGCCUGUAAGACUGGGAUAACUCCGGGAAACCGGGGCUAAUACCGGAUGGUUGUUUGAACCGCAUGGUUCAAACAUAAAAGGUGGCUUCGGCUACCACUUACAGAUGGACCCGCGGCGCAUUAGCUAGUUGGUGAGGUAACGGCUCACCAAGGCAACGAUGCGUAGCCGACCUGAGAGGGUGAUCGGCCACACUGGGACUGAGACACGGCCCAGACUCCUACGGGAGGCAGCAGUAGGGAAUCUUCCGCAAUGGACGAAAGUCUGACGGAGCAACGCCGCGUGAGUGAUGAAGGUUUUCGGAUCGUAAAGCUCUGUUGUUAGGGAAGAACAAGUACCGUUCGAAUAGGGCGGUACCUUGACGGUACCUAACCAGAAAGCCACGGCUAACUACGUGCCAGCAGCCGCGGUAAUACGUAGGUGGCAAGCGUUGUCCGGAAUUAUUGGGCGUAAAGGGCUCGCAGGCGGUUUCUUAAGUCUGAUGUGAAAGCCCCCGGCUCAACCGGGGAGGGUCAUUGGAAACUGGGGAACUUGAGUGCAGAAGAGGAGAGUGGAAUUCCACGUGUAGCGGUGAAAUGCGUAGAGAUGUGGAGGAACACCAGUGGCGAAGGCGACUCUCUGGUCUGUAACUGACGCUGAGGAGCGAAAGCGUGGGGAGCGAACA